rnacentral:rRNA from 1 species
AUAUUAAUAAGGGGAGGAAAAGAAACUAACAAGGAUUCCCCUAGUAACGGCGAGUGAAGCGGGAUGAGCUCAAUUUGAAAAUCGGUGAUCCUCUCGGGUCAUCGAAUUGUAGCCUAGAGACGUGUCAUCAGCGUGUGAGCCAGGUACAAGUCCUUUGGAAGAAGGCAUCAAGGAGGGUGAGAAUCCCGUCUCUGAUCUGGAUUUCGCCGCGUACGAUGCAUGUUCAGCGAGUCGAGUUGUUUGGGAUUGCAGCUCUAAAUGGGAGGUAAAUUUCUUCUAAAGCUAAAUACUGGCCAGAGACCGAUAGCGCACAAGUA